UGGGGGAUAUUGCACAAUGGAGGAAACUCUGAUGCAGCAACGCCGCGUGAAGGAAGAAGGUCUUCGGAUUGUAAACUUCUAUCAGCAGGGAAGAAAAUGACUGUACCUGACUAAGAAGCCCCGGCUAACUACGUGCCAGCAGCCGCGGUAAUACGUAGGGGGCAAGCGUUAUCCGGAAUUACUGGGUGUAAAGGGUACGUAGGCGGUCCAUUAAGUCAGAUGUGAAAGCCCGAGGCUCAACCUCGGGACUGCAUUUGAAACUGGUGGACUAGAGUACAGGAGAGGUAAGUGGAAUUCCUAGUGUAGCGGUGAAAUGCGUAGAUAUUAGGAAGAACACCAGUGGCGAAGGCGGCUUACUGGACUGUAACUGACGCUGAGGUACGAAAGCGUGGGGAGCGAA
rnacentral:rRNA from 1 species